rnacentral:rRNA from 1 species
UACGAAGGGGGCUAGCGUUGCUCGGAAUCACUGGGCGUAAAGCGCACGUAGGCGGCUUUUUAAGUCAGGGGUGAAAAUCCUGGAGCUCAACUCCAGAACUGCCUUUGAUACUGAGAGCUUGAGUCCGGGAGAGGUGAGUGGAACUGCGAGUGUAGAGGUGAAAUUCGUAGAUAUUCGCAAGAACACCAGUGGCGAAGGCGGCUCACUGGCCCGGUACGUGACGCUGAGGUGCGAAAGCGAUGGGGAGCCAAAGCAGGGAUUAAGAAACCCCGGGUUAGU